CGAAAAAGGGAAAAUUCUAGGAUCAUCAAAAAGGAAAAGGGCUUAACAUUUGUUCCACCAGGAGCUGGUUCAGGUCCACGUUUGACGCUCAUCAGUUCUCCAUCAGGAUGGCAGAGCCCCAUGGAAUCCUAAUAAAAGGAGGCAAAGUUGUGAAUGAAGACUUCUCUGUGAUCAGUGAUAUCUAUAUCGAAAAUGGGAAAAUAGUGGACGUUGGGCUGAAUCUUCAUAUUCCAGAGGGUGUGAGAAUUAUUGAUGCUACUGGUAAACUGGUGAUCCCGGGUGGCAUUGACACGCACACACACAUGGAGCUGGCUUUCAUGGGUACAAAGGCUGUGGAUGACUUCCAUAUUGGAACUCAGGCUGCGCUCGCAGGAGGGACCACAAUGAUUGUGGACUUUGUCAUCCCCCAAAAAGGCAAGUCUCUUCUGGAGGCCUACAACUCUUGGCGCAAGACGGCAGACAGCAAAGUGUGCUGUGACUACUCAUUGCAUGUUGCUGUCACGUGGUGGAGUGACCAGGUGAAGAAAGAAAUGGAGAUUCUUGCCAAAGAAAGAGGGGUGAAUUCCUUCAAGAUGUUUAUGGCAUAUAAAGAUGUGUUCAUGCUGCAGGAUUCAGAACUUUAUGCUGCCUUUUCGCAAUGUAAGACCAUUGGUGCAAUAGCUCAAGUGCAUGCUGAAAACGGAGACCUGAUUGCUGAGGGGGCUAAGAAGAUGCUGUCCAUGGGCAUCACAGGGCCUGAGGGUCACGAACUGUGUCGUCCGGAGGAGGUCGAAGCUGAGGCCACCCAGAGAGCCAUCACCAUUGCCAAUGCUGUCAACUGCCCUCUCUAUGUGGUCCAUGUCAUGAGCAAAUCUGCCGCCAAGGUGGUGUCUAAUGCACGCAGAGAUGGGCGAGUAGUAUUUGGAGAGCCCAUUGCAGCUGGACUGGGAACCGACGGGACUCACUACUGGCACAAGGACUGGGCCCAUGCAGCUUCAUUUGUCAUGGGCCCUCCCCUUAGACCUGACCCCAGCACUCCUGGGUACCUCAUGGAUCUGCUGGCCAAUGAUGACCUCAGUGUGACAGGGACCGACAACUGUACUUUCUCAGUCUGUCAGAAGGCGCUGGGGAAAGACGACUUCACCAAGAUCCCCAACGGGGUGAAUGGUGUGGAGGAUAGGAUGUCUUUAAUUUGGGAGAAGGGAGUGCACAGUGGCAAAAUGGAUGAGAAUCGAUUUGUAGCUGUCACCAGCAGCAAUGCAGCAAAAAUCUUCAACUUCUACCCACAAAAAGGCCGGAUCGCCAAGAACUCAGAUGCUGAUGUGGUUAUUUGGGAUCCCAAGUCAUCAAGGAAGAUAUCAGCCAAGUCACACCACCAGGCUGUGGACUACAACAUCUUUGAAGGCAUGGAGUGUCAUGGAGUUCCAGUGAUCAGCAUUUCCAGGGGCAAAGUGGUUUAUGAGGAAGGAAACUUGAAGACGACACCUGGUUGGGGCAAAUUCAUCCACAGACAACCCUUCUCUGAAUUUGUCUAUAAAAGGAUCAGGCAGAGAGACCAGCCAAUGGGAUGCCAGGAAGAUGCUACGGUGAUAGCCAAUGGGAGAGGAGCUCUACCACGUCACACAAACCAAGAUACAGGAAGUGCAUCAUGGGUGAAGACUGAAGUCCUUCUUUCCAAAUGGGAUGUCAGAAAGCUGCUCCGGCAAUAGCCAAUAGGAGAGCAGCUCUAUCGCGCCACACGAACCAACAUACUGUCAUGAUGAGGCUCAAGGGCAUACCCAAAUGCACGACUCCAGAGGCAAGCAGGUGGGCCAACCUAUCGCUGUGAUCAGACACCCAUAUGACGGAAAAGUAAUUUCUGUGUGAACGAGUGAGCCACGACAGGAAAUCCAGUUGGAGACUCCAGCACUGUGCUUGUGUGCAUACACACACACUGUGUUGGCGCGCGUAAUGAAGUCACUCAUUUUUCUCCAAAAGAAAUUGCAAUAUCUUCAUGUUAUACAUAGUACUGUACAUCCACAUUUGUGGGUUUUUUUUUGUUAUUUUCCUAAAUCUAUCUAUCUAGGACCAUCGUCAAGGGUGUCAGGUUCUGUUCUUUUAAUGGCUUUAUAAAAUUCAAAUGAUCAAUAUGUUUGUUAUAUUUGCAAAAAAUAAAAGUAUA